rnacentral:rRNA from 1 species
UGAAUUUUCCGCAAUGGGCGAAAGCCUGACGGAGCAAUGCCGCGUGAAGGAUGACGGCCUAUGGGUUGUAAACUUCUUUUCUCAGAGAAGAAAUUUUGACGGUAUCUGAGGAAUAAGCAUCGGCUAACUCUGUGCCAGCAGCCGCGGUAAGACAGAGGAUGCAAGCGUUAUCCGGAAUGAUUGGGCGUAAAGCGUCUGUAGGUGGCUUAAAAAGUCUCCUGUCAAAGAUCAGGGCUUAACCCUGGGCCGGCAGGAGAAACUCUUAGGCUAGAGUUUGGUAGGGGCAGAGGGAAUUCCCGGUGGAGCGGUGAAAUGCGUAGAGAUCGGGAGGAACACCAAAGGCGAAAGCACUCUGCUGGGCCAGAACUGACACUGAGAGACGAAAGCGAUGAACGAUUUA